AAGGAUCAUUACUGAGUUACCGCUCUAUAACCCUUUGUGAACAUACCUAACUGUUGCUUCGGCGGGCAGGGGGUCCCCUCGGGGACGCCCUCCCGGCCACGCCCUUCACGGGGCGAGGCGCCCGCCGGAGGAUACCAAACUCUAUUUUAACGACGUUUCUUCUGAGUGGCACAAGCAAAUAAUUAAAACUUUUAACAACGGAUCUCUUGGUUCUG
rnacentral:misc_RNA from 1 species